UACCAGUUUGAGGAGGAGAACCCCUUGC
rnacentral:piRNA from 2 species